rnacentral:rRNA from 1 species
CCUACGGGAGGCAGCAGUGGAGAAUUUUGGACAAUGGGGGCAACCCUGAUCCAGCCAUGCCGCGUGAGUGAUGAAGGCCCUAGGGUUGUAAAGCUCUUUUGUGCGGGAAGAUAAUGACGGUACCGCAAGAAUAAGCCCCGGCUAACUUCGUGCCAGCAGCCGCGGUAAU